CCCGGAGCAGGGUGCUGGUGUCGGCAUCCUGCCGAAGGCAGCGGAGCUGCACUCGCCGGUGCCGGGUGAUGCCGGCCUGGCCCUGGGCGGCUGCAUCCUGGUCCCCUCCGGAGAAGCCGCCGCGGAGGCACCCGGUAAGCCGGCUGCCGAGUGCUUCCUCACCUGCACCUCCGAGGAAGAGGAGCUGGAGGAUGCCGGGAUGCUGGAGGAUGCCGGGACAUCGCAGGACGCAGCAACACUGGAGGAUGCCGGGAUGCUGGAGGAUACCGGAGAGUUGCGGGACAUUGCGACGCCGGAGGAUGCCGGGAUGCUGGAGGAUGCCAGGGAGCCACGGGACACUGAGACACUGGUGGAUGCCAGGACACCAGAGGAUGCUGGGGAGCUGUGGGACACUGGAAUGCUGGAGGAUGCUGGGGCACUGCAGGACACUGAGAUGCUGGUAGAUGCCAAGAUGCCGGAGGAUGCCGCAAAGCCACGGGACACUGGAACACCGGAGGAUGCCGGGACACUGCAGGACACUGGGAUGCUGGUGGACACUGCGACACCAAAGGGUGCCGGGGAGCUGCAGGACACUGCGACACCAGAGGAUGCCGGGACACUGCAGGACACUGGGAUGCUGGUAGAUGCCAGGAUGCUGGAGGAUGCUGCAAAGCCCCGGGAUACUGGAAUGCCGGAGGAUGAUGGAACACUGCAGGACACUGAGAUGCUGGUAGAUGCCAGGACGCCAGAGGAUGCUGCAAAGCCACAGGACACUGGAAUGCCGGAGGAUGCCGGGACACUGCAGGACACUGGGAUGCUGGUGGAUGCCAGGAUGCCAGAUGCCGAGGAGCUGCAGGACACCACGACGCCAGAGGAUGCUGGGACACUGCAGGACACUGGGAUGCUGGUGGAUGCCAGGAUGCCGGAGGAUGCCAAGGAGCUGCAGGACACUGCAACGCCAGAGGAUGCCGGGACACCGCGGGACACUGCAACAUCAGAAGAUGCCGGGAUGCUGGAGGAUGCCGGGGAGCUGUGGGACACUACAACACCGGAAGAUGCCGGGAUGCUGGAGGAUACCAGGGAGCUGUGGGACACUACAACACCGGAAGAUGCCGGGAUGCUGGAGGAUACCAGGGAGCUGUGGGACACUACAACACCGGAAGAUGCCGGGAUGCUGGAGGAUACCAGGGAGCUGUGGGACACUACAACACCGGAAGAUGCCGGGAUGCUGGAGGAUACCAGGGAGCUGUGGGACACUACAACACCGGAAGAUGCCGGGAUGCUGGAGGAUACCAGGGAGCUGUGGGACACUGCAACACUGGAAGAUGCCGGGAUGCUGGAGGAUGCCGGGGAGCUGCGGGACACUGGGAUGCCGGAAGAUGCCGGGAUGCCAGAGGAUGCCGCAGCAGAGCCGGAGCUGCAUCACCCCCAGGAGCCCCCUGUCCCCACCGAGCUUCCGGAGGAGACCGAGACCGAUGUGACGAGCGUGCCAGGGCUCUGCGCAGAGCCAGCGGCGAGGAGCAGCUCCCCGGAGCCCCCGGCUCCGUGCCCCGGAGACACCAAAGAGCCUGGCCCGGAGGAGAGCGCCCCGGCUGAGCCGGAGGGAGCCGCUGUCCCCAUGGAUGCCUCCGGCACCUCCAUUCCCACCGACGCCUCCAGCUCCACGGAGGAAGAGGAGGAGGAGGAGGAUGCAUCCGUGACACCCCCCAGCGAGGACGGCCCCGACCGUGCCGCCGAGGAGGAGCCGGCGCCUUCGGAUCCCGCGGCAUCACUCGGCAGCUCCGAUGGCGACCGGCUCUCGGAUGGGCUGCCGGAGGGCUCCGUGCCGGGAGCAGCUAGCGAGCCGGACACCGCUCCGGGUGAAGACCUUCCCAGCGAAGACCUGGAGGGCAGGCGGACGCCGGUGGCAGCCGGGCUCGGCGACACGCAGGAGGAGCGGGAUGCGGCCGCUUCAUCCGAGGACUCAUCGCCGGAGCAGCCGGACACCUCGCGGUCCUGCCUCCGCGCCGACUCCGGCUUCUCCGCCGCCCCCGAGGCCAGCGAGCCGCCGACCCCCCGGCUCCGCUCCUCCUCAUCCUCCUCCUCCGAUGAGGAUGAGGAGGAGGAGGCAGCCCGGCAGCGCCCGCGGGCUCCGGCACCCCAGCGGCCGCGUUUCACCGCCUCCGAGCGGGAAGUCUACGUGGGAUCGCCGCCACGGACACCCGCCGCCGUUGCCGCCCCGCCGGCCCCCCUCGAACUGCUCCAACCACCCGGUGCCUUUUUGGAGAGCCGCCGGCCGCCUCCGGCUUCGCGGCGCCUCCGGGAUCGGCAGCAGGUCGCCGCCAUGCUGCAGGGCUCCUUCGGCGAGCUGGCGGCGGCGCGGCUCCGAGGCAGAGCCGCCUCUCCGGAGAGCGGCCCCGGGAACGCCGCCGGAGCCGUCCUGGUGCCGGCUGCUCCGCUCGAGGCGGCCCAGCCGCCCGCUGCCGGCGGCACUGCCCUUCGACCCAAAGAUCCGGAUGUCCCGCUGUCCCCGGAGUGCUUGGAUGUCCCGCCGUUCCCGGAGCGCCUGGCAUCCCCGGAGCGCCUGGAUGUCGCGCUGGAGCAAGCCCCAGUGGAAAGCGCCUGCCCGACUCUCCCGUUAGCGGAGGCGCCUCCUCGCCCCGCGACGCCGGAGGUGGAGGAGACCCCCAUGGUGGCCGCGUUCCCGGCUGCCGUAGGCAUCCCCACCGCUAUCCUGGCGGAGAGCGGAUCCACGCCGCCCUCGAGCCCCGGCACCGAGCCCGCGGCGCUAUGCGGGCGGGAGGAUGGCGAGGAAGAGGAGGGGACGGCAGCGCCCGGUGCUCUGCACGCUCCGGAUGCUGCUGCCGCCGGCCCCUCGGAUGCUGCCGAAGGUGGAGAGGCUCUUCCGAGCCCCAUGGAGACAGAUAUCCUGCCCCCGGGCUCUCCGGAACCUCUGGAUGCUGGCCGCCGCUCGCCAUCUCCGGAGCUGUGCCUGAGCCCUGCUGCUGCCCCCCGGCCAGACUCUCCGGUACCCACGGAGGAGGCGGC
ensembl:lncRNA